rnacentral:tRNA from 1 species
AAUUAAAAAAUCAUUAGAUGGUGAACUGUAAAUUCACAUUUUAUACAACCACU